CCCGGUAAGACACUACGAUAGAAAUAUCAAAACGAGAGGUAGCAUUAGCGCUGCUUGCCACCGCUGGAUCCAGCUCUUGGCGACAUACUCUUAAGUAUGACAGGGAGAACAUUCCCUCCAGACUGUUAGGGAGGACUGUUUAAAGAGACACUGAAGUGCUCGCUCUCUUCGCCACGAUGAUCCAUGUAUGGUUAAAAACAACAUUUCUCAGCAUGUUCCAAGUGAAAAGCCCAAACACGGAACAAGCACAGCAGCCCAGGCAGAGGCAGAGCAGAGAGGUGAGACCGAUCCACUUCGCAAAUCGGGGUGCCAUCGUUGUUUCUGAAGCCUCCAGGAGGGAAGGUGUCAUUCCAUUCCAACGGCGAUAUUCCGCUUUGUGGGAGCUUCACGGAAAAACUAAAAAAAAAAGAAAAGAAAAAACUAAAAAGA